AGCUCGAUGAGUAGGGCGGGACACGUGGUAUCCUGUCUGAAUAUGGGGGGACCAUCCUCCAAGGCUAAAUACUCCUGACUGACCGAUAGUGAACCAGUACCGUGAGGGAAAGGCGAAAAGAACCCCGGCGAGGGGAGUGAAAAAGAACCUGAAACCGUGUACGUACAAGCAGUGGGAGCCCCACCACUAAGCCAGUGGUGAACUCCACAUACGCAUCCUUUGCUGAGGAUACGGUUAACGGAGCGAAAGCGACGUUCAACCGCAAAAGAAGCAGAGGGGGCUUAGUGGUGGGGUGACUGCGUACCUUUUGUAUAAUGGGUCAGCGACUUAUAUUCUGUAGCAAGGUUAACCGAAUAGGGGAGCCGGAGGGAAACCGAGUCUUAACCGGGCGUUAAGUUGCAGGGUAUAGACCCGAAACCCGGUGAUCUAGCCAUGGGCAGGUUGAAGGUUGGGUAACACUAACUGGAGGACCGAACCGACUAAUGUUGAAAAAUUAGCGGAUGACCUGUGGCUGGGGGUGAAAGGCCAAUCAAACCGGGAGAUAGCUGGUUCUCCCCGAAAGCUAUUUAGGUAGCGCCUCGUGAAUUCAUCUCCGGGGGUAGAGCACUGUUUCGGCUAGGGGGCCAUCCCGGCUUACCAACCCGAUGCAAACUGCGAAUACCGGAGAAUGUUAUCACGGGAGACACACGGCGGGUGCUAACGUCCGUCGUGAAGAGGGAAACAACCCAGACCGCCAGCUAAGGUCCCAAAGUCAUGGUUAAGUGGGAAACGAUGUGGGAAGGCCCAGACAGCCAGGAUGUUGGCUUAGAAGCAGCCAUCAUUUAAAGAAAGCGUAAUAGCUCACUGGUCGAGUCGGCCUGCGCGGAAGAUGUAACGGGGCUAAACCAU
rnacentral:rRNA from 2 species